rnacentral:rRNA from 1 species
AGAUUGAACGCUAGCGGGAUGCUUUACACAUGCAAGUCGAACGGCAGCGCGGACUUCGGUCUGGCGGCGAGUGGCGAACGGGUGAGUAAUAUAUCGGAACGUGCCCAGUAGCGGGGGAUAACUACGCGAAAGCGUGGCUAAUACCGCAUACGCCCUACGGGGGAAAGGGGGGAGUCGCAAGACCUCUCACUAUUGGAGCGGCCGAUAUCGGAUUAGCUAGUUGGUGGGGUAAAGGCUCACCAAGGCUUCGAUCCGUAGCUGGUUUGAGAGGACGACCAGCCACACUGGGACUGAGACACGGCCCAGACUCCUACGGGAGGCAGCAGUGGGGAAUAUUGGACAAUGGGCGAAAGCCUGAUCCAGCCAUGCCGCGUGUGUGAAGAAGGUCUUCGGGAUUGUAAAGCACUUUAAGUUGGAGGAAGGGCAGUAAAUUAAUACUUUGCUGUUUUGACGUUACGACAGAAUAAGCACGGCUAACUCUGUGCCAGCAGCCGCGGUAA